GACGAACGCUGGCGGCGUGCCUAAUACAUGCAAGUCGGACGCACAGUCUAUACCGUAGCUUGCUACACCAUAGGCUGUGAGUUGCGAACGGGUGAGUAACGCGUAGGUAACCUGCCUAUUAGAGGGGGAUAACUAUUGGAAACGAUAGCUAAUACCGCAUAACAGUAUGUAACACAUGUUAGAUGCUUGAAAGAUGCAAUUGCAUCGCUAGUAGAUGGACCUGCGUUGUAUUAGCUAGUAGGUAGGGUAAUGGCCUACCUAGGCGACGAUACAUAGCCGACCUGAGAGGGUGAUCGGCCACACUGGGACUGGGACACGGCCCAGACUCCUACGGGAGGCAGCAGUAGGGAAUCUUCGGCAAUGGGGGGAACCCUGAACGCGCAACGCCGCGUGAGUGAAGAAGGUUUUCGGAUCGUAAAGCUCUGUUGUUAAGGAAGAACGAGUGUGAGAAUGGAAAGUUCAUACUGUGACGGUACUUAACCAGAAAGGGACGGCUAACUACGUG
rnacentral:rRNA from 1 species